rnacentral:snRNA from 1 species
AUUUUAAGCUUAAGACCAUUUGAUGAGCUAAGAUCAUGUGUAGUAUCUGUUCUUUGCUGUGUAAUUUCUGCAACGGUCUCUAAACUGAGACCAAUGAAAUUACCUGUAUUUUUCCCUUACGGACGGGUGCUGUGAGCUCCUCAACCCCGUCCACGGGUCGGCCUCGUAUUGCAUUACCUCGAGGAUUGGCCCAUUAACC